UUUAUUUGACAUAAACUUUCCAUUAUUUUACGAUUUUAAAUAAAGAGGGAAUGGAGUGAAGAUCUCCAGCUGUGCCGCAACCGUAAAAGCCGGAAUACUCAGAAAAACUUAUUUACUGCG
rnacentral:ncRNA from 1 species